UGGUUUGGCUGGCCAGGCAAAUUAAGAGCACAGGUGGCAUCCGGACUCUUCUGCAGUCAAUGGCAAAACUCCCGUUGAUUUCAGCAGAGCCUGAAUUUCACCGCAAACGCUUCUUUUCCAGACCUGCGUUGCUACCCUCGGUUUUGUCAGCAGGUGGCAAUAUCUACUUUUCGUCUGAACUUCAGAAAAGUUCUGCGAGCAAACAUAAACUCUUUAUUCAGAAAGCUGUUACGGCUUUGCGUCGGGUGUUCUGACUGGAAGCUAGAAUGCCCCAUUACUGUAAGCAGACAAGGCAAGACAGAUGACUGCAGAACUGUGGGGGUUACUGUGGAAAAAAAUAUAUUGCUUUUUUGUUGGCAUCCUGCCUUGACUGAUGAGAUGUUAGCAGCCCCUAAGAAGGAGAAAAUCCAUAUGCCGAAGACGACCAUGGGCUCAAUUUCCUACAGAGGAAGAAUGUUGGAUGAAGCAUAGAAACAGCUAAAGAAGAAGUGUCCUUUCCUCUUAAGAAUGGUGUGAAACAGAGUCCUCAACUGGCCUUCCUCAGUGAAAGCUGGAUUACUUGUGAAGAAUCUUAGGGACUACAUCCAGCCUCCUGCCCUGCUGGAGGUACUCAAACCCACACCUCACCUCUCCCUGAGAUGAGAGGCCCAGCUACUAGGAUGCUGACUACAGGAGAUGGAGUGUGAGGGGGCAGACAGCAUAUGUCUCUCCGACUGAAGCUGUUCCACCAUGCGGAAAACCUUCAAAAUUCAAGAUCAAAGAUGGACCAAGAGGGGAUACCACUGCAUCAUCCAGCAGUUUGUAGUCACCUGACAGAAGGAAAUCUGCGUACCCUUCCUGCUCCAACAUGUAGCUACAAGCUUCUAUGUGCAUAAAGCACUAAAUAAAAUAGUAAUAAUAAAAA